CAAACCUGGGGCAACGUUCAGGCUGCUUGUGUGCCACUGCCUGUCACAACUCCUCUCCAUCAAGAGAAAUCGAGUCGGAGCAGUCUGAAUCAUUCCCGUUUGAACGCAGCAGUCAGAACUAAAGCAGGCUCACAGGGUAGGGGGUGUGGGCACACCUUCAGGUGUGACGGUAAGGGGAGGGCCCUCUGAUAAUCCUUGAGCCUGGAUUUUGCCACAGGCUGCUUUAGGAGAGGAUUGGGCUGAUUUUUCUUGGCUUCUCAUCUAAUUUAUCUUCUUUGAAGGCCCAUUUCCCCCACAAGCAAUAAGACAGCCGCGUUUUUGUUGUUUUUUUUUGUGUGUGUUUUGUUUUGUUUUGUUUUGUCGCACGUUGUCAGUUCCUAAAUUCUGGGAAACUUUGUCCCUAUUCAGAAAAUGAAGGUGCGUGUCGUGCAGGACAAGGGCUCUGCUGAUGCCACGUGAAUCAUUUCCUCGGCCAGAGGCAGCAGCAGGGACAGACGGACGGGUGUUUUGGCCGGUGUCGCCCCACGUGUUGCUGAAGUUUUUCCUCGCAGGGCCAUGUGAGUGGGCUGGGGUCCCCAGCUAGCGCAGGUGGGAAGGAGCUCGGGGCUGCUGAGUCUUGAACUGUCAGAAGCACUGCGUGUGGCUGCUCAGGGGGGCGUCACUGCUGAAAUAAAUAAAUUAAUGAGGAGUUAUGGAAACAGCUCUGUCCUCACCAGGCGAGCUUUAGAGGCCAGCACGCUGCUCUGCCCGUACCCGUAAAGCCGUCCCGUUGUGCAGGGCACCUUAAUGCUGCUGCUGUCCCUUCUCUGUAGGAUGGGAAUCAAGGUAUUUCUUUCCUCUCACUCUUUUAUCUUCACCCAAAGAGAUGUGGAUUUCAGAUUCACCCUGGGGAAAGGGCUGCAUCCCCCCAGUCUGCCCAUCUCCGUAUCCAUCGCUCUAGCACAGGGCUGUGGGGGAAGGCAGACCCCAGCAGUGAAGCUCCCGGCCGUAUUGUUUAGUGCCUUGUUGUUGCCUCCAGGAUUGCUCUGUAAGAAAGUUAAGUUCCCUUUUAGGGCCAUCUCUGUUUCUGCCCUUUGUUUCUCUUCCUUCCUUAUUUUCCUGCCUCCAGACGUAGCGACACGCAUGAUUUAUACCAGUGCAAGCCCUGCGGUGUUGACCUGAAAGGAUCUGCAGCUGCUCUCGUUAGCCUGACUGGCAAAUUACUGGGAGAUUUGGACUCCCCAGAGCCCGGAGACAUUUUGCACUAGGGCGAGUUGCUCUGCCCUGCUGGCUGCCCAGUUCCUCUUGUGGUCUGCGUGGUCUCAUCCUCGUGCGAGUCGCGCUGGCGGGCAGCCAGGUUCCACUUCUUGGUGCCCGUGAGCUCCAGAAACUGCAGCUGGUGUGUUUCUCUAGAUAGCUUGAUACCUGCUUUCACCUGGUCCUGGUCUCUAUCCUCGGAGAAGUCCCGGUGUCUCAGCACAGCUGCUCCAAGUGCUGUUAACUCCUAAAGCUCCUCGCAGAGCGGUGUUCGUUGCGUAAGGGCUCGGACGGUGCCACGAGACGCUGCUUGGUCCUUCCCCCUUCCCCAAACUGCCGCUCCCAGCAGGGCUGAACAGCACACAAAAGUUCAAACACACUCGCUGGCUUCUUUACCUUGAUGGCAGCAGGUAAAUCAUGCAAAACCAAGCCCUUCCAUCAGACUGCCAGCAGGGCAGGGUUGGCACACGCUUCUCCCAGUCACUCCUGUGACUCUCCCUUAGGACACGAUGCCUGAGGGUGGCUCAGGGCAUCCUGAAUUGCUCUCAGCCUCCUUUUGACUACCAGUAGCUGUACCGUGUUCUUCCAGAUGCCAAAAAGAAGACAUUUUAAUAAUAAAAUGUCCACGUUAGGUGAAGCCAGAAGUCUGCUUAGCUCGGCGUGCUACAUCCUGCAUAACACCCGGUGGUUAUCCAACACGGGUGGGGUGUAAAUCACAAAACAACUCUCAGCAUGAAACCUGCGACACAAAGUCACCCCCGGACGAGAUCAGUAAUCUCAGGAGCCAUGUUCCUCUUUAUUUUUUGAAGUUUCCAAACUGAAGCUGAGGACGAGGGAGAGCAUUUCCAUCCCCGAGCACCCAGGAGCCUGGUGGUCAACGGAUUGUCCUGCAGCACAGUGUGACUGCUGAGGCUGCACAGGAUAACUGAGUUCAGCUUUGUCGAGCGUUUUUAGUCCAGCAGCAAGGAAGAGUCGCUUGGGGGGAGCAUCUUUUUUAGAUGAGCCCCACAAAAACCUCUCUGACACCCUCUGCAAAUGAAGUCAGUCAAGGUAGCAGCACAGGGGAGAGGACGCGCAGGGUCGGAGCCACGUCGGAGGGCACGCAGCCCUGCGGAUGCUAAUCCACACCUCGGAGCCACCCUGCACAGAAGUGCACAUUACCAUCAGGGCUCAUUCAAACGCCCCUGCGGCUCUCCAUCAGUCCCCAUUGUUUCCUAAUCCCGCCGUAGCCGAUGCUGGUUUUAUCCCAAAUAAUUUGCCGUGCUCGCUGCCCUCCCCGCUGACUGAGCCGGAGCACGUUAGCGAUGCGUGACUGCAUCUGGCUCUCUGCUCUCAGGUUAGCGACACGACAGAAGCCUUAAUUGCACUCAGCUUCUUUGCAAAAGCUCGUUUUGGGGGCAAGCACGGGGAUAUCUGUGCAUCUGAGAACUCGCCAGCAGGGGAAAUAACCAUUUGCUCCCUCCUAGCACGGCAAAGCCCUCCUGAGCAGCUCUGCACGGAUAAAUUUCCAUCAGAUGGAUGGAAACCUUGCAGGAGCAGGACCAGCACCAGCCGGGCAGCCAAGGGCAAUCCCAUGGAUGUGGGCAGCAGAGGGGAUGCUCGGCCCCGUCAGCUUUUCCUGCUGAGAGCACAGCCACAGCUGGCCGGAGGAUGGGGUGGACACAGGGGCUUCAGCACAGUCACCUCCUGUCCCAAAAGCAUCAUCCAGCUUCGGAGCCAGCUGUUGAGUUUGUGUGAAAGGUGCCUCCUCUCUUCACCCCAGUUUCUGGUGCCCAGGAUGGGACAUGUGGGAUGACCCGACCUGAUCCUAAAGGGCUCCCCGCACCUUCCCGAGGGGGACGUGCUGAAGCCACGAGGAAGGACAGAAAGGGAAGGACAGCUCUGGGUGGGAAAUCCGGAGCCCUGCACACCCCGAUGAUGCUCCUGGUACCUGAAAAAAUAACGAUGAAGCUGUGGCAGUGCUGUAGCUGACCUGACUCAGCACAUCAGCCCCAGGUAUCCAUGUUUCUGUGAUUUUUUUUCACCCAGAAGAGGCACAAAACCAGUAUCUUUCCCCCAUCUUCUUUCCCAGACCCACCGGUCUUUGCUGAGCACCAGAAACCACCAUUGUGCUCCAGUUUGCUCCCUGUAAGCUUGCCUAAACUCCGAUGCCAUCAGCAGUUUGCUGUGUCAGUCCCCAGGAGACAUCCAGGACACCAAAACAGCCGUGGUGUUGGGAAACCACUUGGCACACAGCUCAGCACCUGGUGCUGCGUGCUGCUCCUUUCACCUUUUCCUCCUGCGUUGCACCGAGAGCCACGAACGACUUUAAGCGGGUGACUAGCAUCCCUCAGCACUUCUCAAGGACGCCGUCACCUCCUUAAAAUAAUGAAUCCCUGAU